GGGGACGGAGAAGGCUAUGUUGGCCGGGCGACGGUUGUCCCGGUUUAAGCGUGUAGGCUGGUUUUCCAGGCAAAUCCGGAAAAUCAAGGCUGAGGCGUGAUGACGAGGCACUACGGUGCUGAAGCAACAAAUGCCCUGCUUCCAGGAAAAGCCUCUAAGCAUCAGGUAACAUCAAAUCGUACCCCAAACCGACACAGGUGGUCAGGUAGAGAAUACCAAGGCGCUUGAGAGAACUCGGGUGAAGGAACUAGGCAAAAUGGUGCCGUAACUUCGGGAGAAGGCACGCUGACACGUAGGUGAAGUGAUUUACUCAUGGAGCUGAAGUCAGUCGAAGAUACCAGCUGGCUGCAACUGUUUAUUAAAAACACAGCACUGUGCAAACACGAAAGUGGACGUAUACGGUGUGACGCCUGCCCGGUGCCGGAAGGUUAAUUGAUGGGGUCAGCGCAAGCGAAGCUCCUGAUCGAAGCCCCGGUAAACGGCGGCCGUAACUAUAACGGUCCUAAGGUAGCGAAAUUCCUUGUCGGGUAAGUUCCGACCUGCACGAAUGGCGUAAUGAUGGCCAGGCUGUCUCCACCCGAGACUCAGUGAAAUUGAACUCGCUGUGAAGAUGCAGUGUACCCGCGGCAAGACGGAAAGACCCCGUGAACCUUUACUAUAGCUUGACACUGAACAUUGAGCCUUGAUGUGUAGGAUAGGUGGGAGGCUUUGAAGUGUGGACGCCAGUCUGCAUGGAGCCGACCUUGAAAUACCACCCUUUAAUGUUUGAUGUUCUAACGUGGACCCGUAAUCCGGGUUGCGGACAGUGUCUGGUGGGUAGUUUGACUGGGGCGGUCUCCUCCUAAAGAGUAACGGAGGAGCACGAAGGUUGGCUAAUCCUGGUCGGACAUCAGGAGGUUAGUGCAAUGGCAUAAGCCAGCUUGACUGCGAGCGUGACGGCGCGAGCAGGUGCGAAAGCAGGUCAUAGUGAUCCGGUGGUUCUGAAUGGAAGGGCCAUCGCUCAACGGAUAAAAGGUACUCCGGGGAUAACAGGCUGAUACCGCCCAAGAGUUCAUAUCGACGGCGGUGUUUGGCACCUCGAUGUCGGCUCAUCACAUCCUGGGGCUGAAGUAGGUCCCAAGGGUAUGGCUGUUCGCCAUUUAAAGUGGUACGCGAGCUGGGUUUAGAACGUCGUGAGACAGUUCGGUCCCUAUCUGCCGUGGGCGCUGGAGAACUGAGGGGGGCUGCUCCUAGUACGAGAGGACCGGAGUGGACGCAUCACUGGUGUUCGGGUUGUCAUGCCAAUGGCACUGCCCGGUAGCUAAAUGCGGAAGAGAUAAGUGCUGAAAGCAUCUAAGCACGAAACUUGCCCCGAGAUGAGUUCUCCCUGAGACUUAGAGUCUCCUGAAGGAACGUUGAAGACGACGACGUUGAUAGGCCGGGUGUGUAAGCGCAGCGAUGCGUUGAGCUAACCGGUACUAAUGAACCGUGAGG
rnacentral:rRNA from 1 species